GUGGGGAAUUUUGGACAAUGGGGGCAACCCUGAUCCAGCCAUGCCGCGUGCGGGAAGAAGGCCUUCGGGUUGUAAACCGCUUUUGUCAGGGAAGAAAUCCUUUGGGUUAAUACCUCGGAGGGAUGACGGUACCUGAAGAAUAAGCACCGGCUAACUACGUGCCAGCAGCCGCGGUAAUACGUAGGGUGCGAGCGUUAAUCGGAAUUACUGGGCGUAAAGCGUGCGCAGGUGGUUUUGUAAGAUCGAUGUGAAAUCCCCGGGCUCAACCUGGGAACUGCAUUGGUGACUGCAAGGCUGGAGUGCGGCAGAGGGGGAUGGAAUUCCGCGUGUAGCAGUGAAAUGCGUAGAUAUGCGGAGGAACACCGAUGGCGAAGGCAAUCCCCUGGGCCUGCACUGACGCUCAUGCACGAAAGCGUGGGGAGCAAACAGGAUUAGAUACCCUGGUAGUCC
rnacentral:rRNA from 1 species